UGGGAGAAGAGCAUAGCUCAGCAGUAGAACAUGUGCUUAGCAUGCAGAAGGUCCUUGGUUCAAACCAGAGACCCACCAUCUCCCAU